rnacentral:lncRNA from 1 species
CAAAGUACUGUCAUUCAUUGCCGUCUCAUAAAGGCAUCAUCAUCAAUCCAACAUAUAUAUACUUCAUUUAUAACAUGACUCUUAGUAGUUUACAUUACAUAUACGUGUACACAAACAAAAGACUCUCAACCGUCAGUAGAGUGACUUUAAGUGAAGGUACCGCUACUGAGAUGCCAUAGUACCUACCAAGAAGAUGAGAAUACGUGAACAUUCAAUCUAGGUCCCAAUUGCCUCCAAAUUUGAAAACAUGAAGUUUAAAAAUGUGAGUAUAAAACUCAGUGAGUGAACAUAAGAAGGGAACAAGCAAUCAAUAAGGAGAACUUGGAAAUCAUGAUGCACUUGUUUCAAAAAUAAUGCAAUUGAUUUUAUUUCUUAGUAAAAACCCCUCAUUUCAAACUUUGAUUAAUAACCUCAUAGUGUUGGAAAAACCCAUGAUCAAUCCAUGAAGUUAAAUGGGUGAAAAAUAUGUCAAAAUAAAGCAAGGUAGCAAGCAUAACAGCAAGUUUCUCGUUACAGCGAGAAACAUUCUUAGUUUGCAUAUGUUUCAAUUUUUCAACAUAUCUCCCACUACAAAAGUCCAAUUGAUAUAAUUUUUAGACCAUUAGAAAGCUAAGAGAUUGGGAUAAAACUUUUAUGUUUACUACUUUGCCAAUUCUGAUUAGAAGGUGGUUAAAAUUGUUGUCAAAGUGAGAGCACUGCACUAGGAAUUUGGAACUACCCGAGAGUUUCUCGCUGCAGGGAGAAUCCAUUUUCGCUGCAGCAAGAAUUCUUUUACGCUGUAGUGAGAAACAGGGCCCAAGCAUUCUCGCUACAGCGACAUUUAAGGCAGAUGACAAUUAAGGGAUUUUCACAUGCCAUAAAAUCCAUUCCUACCAUAUUGCACAUCAAAGUGAACACAUUGACAAUAAUCAAGUUUCUUAUUAUUCAUUUCAAUCACAUAUUAUAAUCAUAAACUUUCUAUCACAUAUACAUAUAUAAGCAUAUAUAAACACAUACACCACCCCAUUUCAUUCAUCGUCAUGUUCACUCCCUACUCGCACAUAACAGGGUCAUCAUCGGCUUAUGCGCACUCCCUUACUCGCACAUAGCCGGGUCAUCAUCAGCUCAUGUGCACUCUCACAUUGCACAUAGCUGGGUCAUCAUUAUCACACAAAGGAGCAUCCAAAGCAUAAUACACAUAUCAAUAUAAUGUGAUAACGCAUGAACUAUUCAUAUUGCACAUUUCACAAGAUAGAAACAUUUCAUCAAGGGCUUAUUCCCCAAGUAUAUUUUUGAAGCAAAAACAAAUGAAACUUUCAAAUGAUUUAUUUAAACAUGUGGACACUCCCCAAAAUAUUUUUUUUUGAAAUGCAAGUUCACUCACCGGUAUUUGUUAAUCUUGACUGAACAACAACUUUGACUAUAGCUCCAAAUUAAGAUAUGAGGUCUUGUUGGAACCUAUCACACACCAACAUCACAACUAACCCAAUUUGCAUAAAUACAAUUCUAAAAGCUAUUUCGUAAAUCAAGUUCUACUAGUCAUCCCUAACUAGCUUCCAACUACUAUUAAAUGGCUAUCUAUUCUCUCUACUCUAGUAACUCUAGAAAUAAAUAAACAAACCUCAAUAAUAAAACAAGUCACAACUCCAAGUAUUAGCCAUUAUCAACAACCUAAAAUUAAUCCUCAUUCAUUACUCACCUUGGUGGAUUUGUAGUUGAAUUCCUUCUCACGAAUACUCAAGCUAUCAUGAAAAGUCUCUCUCUUUCUCUCUCUAAAAUGUCCAACUAGUGAGAGAAAGUUUUGAGAAAAGACUUUUGAGGGUUUUAAGGUGAGAGAGUGAAAGAACACAAAAGGCUCUAUGAAAAAGUGCUCAAAAUCAUGAAAAUUGAAGCUAGAGAAAGAAAGUUAUCGAAACUUUAAGAGAGGCUCCCAUGGAGAUGAAGAAAUGUGAAAUGGGAAGGGAAGAAGAAAUGGCUGGAAGCUGCUGGAAAUUGCUGGAGCUUUAGAUAUUUAUUUCUAAAGUUUAUCCAAUUUUUCAUAUAAUUUACCAAAAUGCCCUCCAUAAGGUGACUUUGUCUUCUUCUUUCCUUCGGUUCAACUUUUUACUCUUUGGACACUGAGACAAAGUCCAUAAUGGUCUAGAAGUACUCAAGUUCUAGAAAACUUAAAAAUUUAGACUCGAGAUGCAAAAUGACCAUUUUACCCCUAACUUGGAAAUCAUCAUUAUUUCUAUUUCCUUCGUCAUUUUAUCCUUGUUUUCAUCAUUCAUCUGUGCCUUAGGCCUACUUAAGCCUUAAUAAUGUUUGAAAGCAUACUUCUAGAGGUUCACUAAAGAAAAUGAUGAAAUUACCCCUAGUCUGUUUUAUCUCGUCUACUUCUAGUUACGUGUUUGUAGAGGUCGAGGUUUCACAGGUUCACUUAUGAAUUACUCAUUUUUCUCUAUAAUCAACCUCAAUUAGCAAUCGGUAAGCAUUAUUAGUCACCACCUCAAAGCAUUAGGUAUUACAAAAAGAUUAUGGGAGGAUAAAAUUAAAAAAGGUAAAAACCUUAGAGGGUAAAAUGGUAAUUUUGUCAUUAGUUUGGUCAAAAAUUCCAAAGUAAGCUUUGACUCUUUUCUUCCUUAUCCAUGAUCGGUUCUUAUCUUCUCCAGUAGAUAUUUUCUUCUCAUUCUUCAUGCUCCCACGCCAUUUUCAUACUCCCAUGCUAUUUUCACCUUACCACCUUGCAUUUGAAAAGAAAAAUAGAGAGAAUCGGCUAAGAAAAGAAAGGAGAGAGAAGUGGGAGGCUUGGGUAGUAAGUGAUUCAAGAGUAAUUGAAGAAAUAUCAAGUGGGUCUCAAGAUUCAAGAAACGUAAGGUAAGGAUUUUUGUGUUUUAAGCUCUCAGUUGGUUAAAUCUUUGGAGGAAUAAUGUGUGAAUCAUUUUGUGGCAACUAUGGUGUUCAUGGGUGUGAGGAAAUUAUGAAUUUUAUUAGAUGAAAUCCCAGCUAAAACCAAGUGGUAAGCUUAAUGCUACAAUUUCAAGCCUAUGAUUGGUUUAAUAUUGUGAGAAUGAUUGUGUGCAAUAUGUAGUGUUAUUGUGAUGUCAUGGGUAUGGUUGGAAGGCAAUUAUAUUAAUUGGAAGUGUGGAUAUGUGUGGAUAUGUGUUGCUAAGAAAGGCUUACAAGGUUAUGGGUGUUGGUGUGCAUGAAUGAAUAUUGAUGUUAUGCUUGGUGGCAACAUGUAAAUGAGAAUGGUAGUACAUGUAGACUUAGAAAAUGUUUGAUAGAAGUAAAUUUAUAAUUGCUGCCAUAUGAUAGGUUAUUGGUGUGGAAAUGAUGGUUGAACUUGAUAAAUGUUCUUAGAAAAGAUUAAUAUAUGUGCUAAAGUCAUAAAUGAGUUGCCAGUAAUUAUAAUUUAAGGAAUUACGCAAGCAAAAGAUAAAAGCAACUUUGGUAAAAAUGUGUCAAGAUGUAAGUUAGUUGAAUAAGGAAUCACGAUUGAAUGAAAAAGAGAAGUAGAAAUGAUGUACACUAAAGAUAUUGAAUUUGGAUUGUUGCUAGGAAGUGUAAAAGUAAAGACAGUGUACUGUGGUGGUGUGCCGGAGGAAAUAACGAACGACCAACAAGUAGAAAUAGCUAAAUACGCCACAGAACUAAUAACGACAUAGUAUCCCGUAAUCAUAAGGUGAGUGAACUUGCAUUAAAAUAUUUUGGGAUAAAUGCAUACGUGUUUAAUUGAAUCACCUGAAAUGUUUUAUCGAACUUUUCUUUAAAACAUGCAUGGAAACAAGCCCUUGAUGAAAUGUUUUUAUGUGGUAAAAUAUGUGAUAUAAUGAAACCAUGGGUUCUAUAUUAUGUGGAUAUGUGUGUUAUGUAUUGAGUGAUAAUGUUGUAUAAUAGCUAUAACUGCGCACAUGCAGUGUAGGAUUGCACGUGACGGUGCCGAUGGUGUGCGGUGAGAGUACGUGUGAUGAUAUUGAAAUGUGCGUGUAGGGAAUGCACAUGAUGAUAUUGCCUUGUGUGUAGAGAGUGCACAUGAGCUGAGUAAGGCGGCGGUGGUGUACAUGUAUAUAUAUAUAUAUGCUAUAGACAAGUUAUGAAAAUAAAAAAUGUGAUUGUACUAUAUGUUAUAGAAUGCCUUUCCGCUGCAGCGAGAAACCUUCUAUUUUGCUUGUCUUGAUUAAAUAUUUGCUAUAGUUUUCACUCUUUUCAACUCCAUUGUGGAUUAUAAAUCCUUCACCUUAAGGGAUUAAAUAAUCAAGGGUUGAAUUAAGGGCUUUAUAAGAAAUUAAACUAAAUUGCAUUUUUUUCAACAUAAGUGCAUCAUGUUUUCUAAAACUUCCUGUAUUGAUGCUUGUUGCCUUCCUAUGUUCACUCACUGGGUUUAUACUCAUCCUUUUUUUUCUACUUCAUGUUUUAGUUUUCAAGAUUGAAGGUAGUUGGAUCCUAAGUCAAGGUACUCCCUCCUAUUCAUCUUUUGGUAGGUUCAGUAUGACUCUCAAUGAUAGUAACCCCACCAGAGUCACUCUGCUGAUAGUCAACAUCUUUUGUAUGUAUGUAUGAUUGGUUAAGUGUAAUUCGUGAAAGUUAUUGUAAACACUAUGUGUUUGCUUUGAAUAAUAGUGCCGCCACACGUUGGCCAGUGAUAAUAUUAUUUUGUGAAUACUAUAUGCUGGGUUGCCAUGAUUUAACUCGUGAGAAGGAAUUAUUUUUGAAAAUUAUGAAUUGAGAACCUUAAAGGUAAAUGAGAGACAAGCGGUUUAAUGAAUAAGUUUUCACGCAAAAGGCUUGCUUGGGUCUAGUGGGUUAUGCCUAUUGGGUCCUUGCGUCGGUCAUAGCUCGAGAUUUAGGCUGUGACACCUUUCCUACAAAUCGAGCAUUUCUCUCCCUUUCCUAUGAUCAGGGGCAGAUCCUCUUUAAGUUAUUGGAGCUAUCAUCCUUCAAAAUUUUUAAAAUUUUUUCUGUAUCAUAUCGUUAUGGAAUAUGGACAUAUUAUACCAUAUUAGACCAAUUUAAAUUAGAGUAAAUUUGAUAAAUGAUAAGUGUAUUAUCCACAUUCUAGAUAUUUUAAUAUUCAUCUACAUGUGGAUACUAUCUAGAUGAUACUGUGAGAUUUAUCAAGAAGAUAAUGUAAUUUAGAGAUGUGUCUUAGUAAGAGAUUGUUAUAGCCAUUUAUCUAUAAGGGGCUUUAACUAUAAAUAGAGGGUCACCCCACCCCUAUUUUGUGUCACAAUUAUUUUUCAUUCCAAGCAUUUCUUCAGUAAUACAUGAAGAACAUUCUCUCAAUAUCUCUCUUUUCUUCCUAUUUCUAUUAUUUCUUUACAACACGUUAUUAACACGAUCACCAAAGGAAGAGGCAAUUUUCUUGGUUCUUUAUCAACCAAUUAGAUCUUGAUUUUGUAUAUCGACUAGUCCACAUGAAGCUGACAACAGACCUAGAGCAUCCUUUCGAUCCCUAAAGCAGUGGUGGGUCUUUGGGAACCCCUAUAGUUGUCUUAAUUAAUUUAUGGGUCCAUUUUUUUGUGUGUAGAAUUAUGGAAAAUUUCAAAAAGUCUAAGAUCCACAUCCUGAAAAUGAGUGGAAGCAAUUAUUUGUCCUAGUGCCUUGAUGUGGAGAUGCAUUUCCAAGGGCAAGGUGUUGCUAAUGCAAUUAUUAUAGAUGGGAAAGCAAAUGACAAAGAUAAGGCGAAUACUCUUAUUUUAAUUCACCAUCAUUUGCAUGAGAGCUUGAAGACUUAACAUUUAUCCAUCUAGGACCUUAAGAUCCUAUGGACGAGGUUGAGAGAAAGGUAUGAUCAUACCAAGAUUGUUAUCCUCCUUUAAGCACAAUACGAUUGACAGCAUCUCAAGCUGCAAGACUUCAAAUCAGUGUUUGACUACAAAUCAACCUUAUUUGAUAUUGUUUCUCGACUAGAGUAAUGAGAUGUUAAGCUCACCAAAUUAGAGCUAUUAGAGAAAACUUUUCCACCUUCCAUGCUUCAAAUAUUGUAUUGCAGCAGCAAUAUCAACAGCAUCAAUUUGAAAAGUACUUGGAGUUUAUUUUUGUCCUCCUGACUACAGAGCAGUCUAAUGAACUACUACUCAAGUACCAUGAUCUUAGACUUGCUGGCUCGAAAGCAUUGCUUGAAGCAAAUGCUAGCUCUAGUAAGAGUACAGACCAAUUUAAGGGUCAUGAACACAAGCAAGGGAAUAACCCAUGUAAGGGCAACCGCCCUAGUGUCACAACCUAAACCCGGGGUGUCACGACCCGAAACUCCCUAUCGAGCCCAUGACAACCGCCGCAAAGCCUCGACAAACAUUCUUCACCCCGAAUGUCGAUCGAAACCUCGCAAGGCUCUCGUAUCAGCUUUCACACUUCCCCGGUGAGCAAUAGUUAUCAAAUAAUCAAAACACGAAGGAUUACAAAUCAUUUCCAAAUCAUAACAUAACAAUUUUUUUUGCUCACAGGGGCAUUUUCAUCAUUUUUCUCGAAAACCUCGAAACUUGCUAAAAAUGUAGUAGGUAAGUCGAAAAUAUAUAUUUAAUGAUUUAAAAAAAAUUAAGUAUCUAAAACGUUCAUUUGAAGUGAAAUUUUGAUCAUUUGAAUAUAAUAGAAAUAUUCAAUAAAAUAAACUAUUUUCUUGUAAAAUAAUUUUCAUAAAACUAUCGGUACACAAUUCUUAUAGCGUAAAAGAUAAUUAUAUUCAUAUAUACUAUAAAGCAAAUAACCAAAGCAUAAAAUUUCUUUUACAGUGACACGUGGGCCCACAUCUAUCCAAAAUGCAUCGGAAGCUGGAAACCUACAGCUUUUAUCGAUUCGAGUCCAAAUGAAGGUCCUUGUCAAAGUCAGCUAACUAUGGAAUUCCCCGAGCCUAAAAUGUGAGGAAAUGAGGGUGGUGAGAUUAUAAAAUCCCAGGGAGUAAACAGAUACCAUCUAAACUAUCUAAAGUCGAGUAAAUGGAGACAAUUAAAAUAAAUCAUCAUAUUGUAAUUUCAUUACAUUUCAACUCAUUUCAACCAAAUAAAAUCAAUCCAUAAAAAUCGAGUAAUCAACUUGGCUUAUGAAUUUCUUAAAACUUUGGCUCGUGCCAAAACUCAUACUCGGUGAUACCUUGCGCAGGGCAUCCAACCGAGUCCGCCAAGGCUGUUAAAAUUUCAUGUACACUUAAAAUAUAUUUUUAGUUUGAGAAAAUACAGUCAUUCCUUGACGUUGGCUGAGUUCCCCUUCACGUGGUGGUUUAGCGUGAAGUGAACCCUAAGCUUUACCCCAAGAGAUACCCUACGCGCCUCUCCGUUCGGGGUAAGAAUAUAUUGGAGUUUACCGUGCCCCUCUAAUAGGCUGGUCCAUGGAACCCCCUCUGCAGUGAAUAAUUAACAUAUAAUCCACCAAUCAAUAACAUUCAUUCUAGCAUGACAUGGCAAUUUAUCACAACCUAGCCUCUCAAGGCUGAAUACACAGUAUAAAUAAUUCUAACACCAAAAUUAGUUUAGCCAUUCAUGCUCAUUUAUUGUCAUAAGCCAUUCAAUUCAAAACCAUAAAUUUACAACACAAGCAGGCAGUCUCCAAUUCCUCUAUUUUCAAAACUAGUAUUCGAUUUUUCCAGAAAAUUUAUAAAAUCAUUUUAUAAAAUUGUAAUUUCUCUUAAAACAUAGCAAUUUACCAUUUAAACCUAUUUUUCAUAAAAUCACACAAUUGUAUAAAACUACUAUAGAUAAUUAAGACGAUAAUAAGUUCACUCACAGUUUUAGGAGUCGAUGUACUCCUAAUCCCAGUCUCCAAGCACAAUCUCUCUACUUUUGCCAGUGUACUUUGCUCACCACCUAUCCACAAUGUACAAUACAUAAUUCACCACAUCAAUGCUUGACCAUUAUAAAAUCAAUUCAGGCUCGGUAUAUAUACAUGAUAUGAUAUACAACUUAUCAGACUACCGUUUAAAUGCGGUGCUGACCUAAUUCGGCCUAUUAUCUCUAAUUUAACUCAAAAUCAAUUCUUCUCACUUUCUACACUCCAAUUAUACCUAAAUUACCUUAAUAACUAUGAAUGAAAUUCAAUUUAUCAGUACCGAUAGCAAAUUACAAAAAUACCCCUAGUGGGUAAAAAUUCGUAUUUUUGCUCCGAAAAUUCCUAUUAUUUUUCUAGGCUCAUAAUUCAUCAUUUCUUAACCAAUUCUCCUAAAAUGAAAAUCAAAUUCAUCCUCACUAAACACAUGAUAAAUUCGGCCAUUAAUGAUUGUGGGAGAAAAUAAAUUUUUUUCUUGUUGUUUUGUUUCUAAAUAUGCUAAACUAACUUAAAACACUAACAUAACUUAAAAUCAAAUUAAUCUAACAACUUUCUCUCUCCUAACCCAUUUUUCAGAAUUGAAUUCAUCAUAAUAACUCAAUAUUCAACCAUGGAAAUCAAGAACAAAAGCAUGGGUAAGCUAGGUAUCAAGGAGAACUAAAGAAAUUCUAACUUACCUAGCUUGUUUCCUUGAUUUCUUCACUUUUUCUUUGAAUUUUUCACCUAGGUUUUCUUGUUUUUCCCUUUGUUCUUCCUCUCUUUCUCUCUCUUCCUUGCUUGGCCGGCC